UAAGGAAUAUUGGUCAAUGGGCGGAAGCCUGAACCAGCCAUGCCGCGUGCAGGAAGACGGCCCUACGGGUUGUAAACUGCUUUUGCAGGGGAAUAAACCUUCGUAUGUAUACGAAGCUGAAUGUACUCUGAGAAUAAGGAUCGGCUAACUCCGUGCCAGCAGCCGCGGUAAUACGGAGGAUCCAAGCGUUAUCCGGAUUUAUUGGGUUUAAAGGGUGCGUAGGUGGUUUUUUAAGUCAGGGGUGAAAGACGGCAGCUUAACUGUCGCAGUGCCUUUGAUACUGAAGAACUUGAAUAAACUAGAGGUAGGCGGAAUGUGACAAGUAGCGGUGAAAUGCAUAGAUAUGUCACAGAACACCAAUUGCGAAGGCAGCUUACUAUGGUUUGAUUGACACUGAGGCACGAAAGCGUGGGGAUCAAACA
rnacentral:rRNA from 1 species